rnacentral:rRNA from 1 species
UACGUAGGUGGCAAGCGUUGUCCGGAAUUAUUGGGCGUAAAGCGCGCGCAGGCGGUCUCUUAAGUCUGAUGUGAAAGCCCACGGCUCAACCGUGGAGGGUCAUUGGAAACUGGGGGACUUGAGUACAGAAGAGGAAAGCGGAAUUCCACGUGUAGCGGUGAAAUGCGUAGAGAUCAUGAGGAAGACCAGUGGCGAAGGCGGGUCUCUGGACAGUUCCUGACACUGAGACACGAAGGCCAGGGGAGCAAACGGG